rnacentral:rRNA from 1 species
CGAUGACUCUCUAGCUUGCUAGAGAAGAUUAGUGGCGGACGGGUGAGUAACAUUUAGGAAUCUGCCUAGUAGUGGGGGAUAGCUCGGGGAAACUCGAAUUAAUACCGCAUACGACCUACGGGUGAAAGGGGGCGCAAGCUCUUGCUAUUAGAUGAGCCUAAAUCAGAUUAGCUAGUUGGUGGGGUAAAGGCCCACCAAGGCGACGAUCUGUAACUGGUCUGAGAGGAUGAUCAGUCACACCGGAACUGAGACACGGUCCGGACUCCUACGGGAGGCAGCAGUGGGGAAUAUUGGACAAUGGGGGCAACCCUGAUCCAGCCAUGCCGCGUGUGUGAAGAAGGCCUUUUGGUUGUAAAGCACUUUAAGCAGGGAGGAGAGGCUAAUGGUUAAUACCCAUUAGAUUAGACGUUACCUGCAGAAUAAGCACCGGCUAACUCUGUGCCAGCAGCCGCGGUAAUACAGAGGGUGCGAGCGUUAAUCGGAAUUACUGGGCGUAAAGCGAGUGUAGGUGGCUCAUUAAGUCACAUGUGAAAUCCCCGGGCUUAACCUGGGAACUGCAUGUGAUACUGGUGGUGCUAGAAUAUGUGAGAGGGAAGUAGAAUUCCAGGUGUAGCGGUGAAAUGCGUAGAGAUCUGGAGGAAUACCGAUGGCGAAGGCAGCUUCCUGGCAUAAUAUUGACACUGAGAUUCGAAAGCGUGGGUAGCAAACAGGAUUAGAUACCCUGGUAGUCCACGCCGUAAACGAUGUCUACUAGCCGUUGGGGUCCUUGAGACUUUAGUGGCGCAGUUAACGCGAUAAGUAGACCGCCUGGGGAGUACGGCCGCAAGGUUAAAACUCAAAUGAAUUGACGGGGGCCCGCACAAGCGGUGGAGCAUGUGGUUUAAUUCGAUGCAACGCGAAGAACCUUACCUGGUCUUGACAUAGUGAGAAUCCUGCAGAGAUGCGGGAGUGCCUUCGGGAAUUCACAUACAGGUGCUGCAUGGCUGUCGUCAGCUCGUGUCGUGAGAUGUUGGGUUAAGUCCCCGCAACGAGCGCAACCCUUUUCCUUAUUUGCCAGCGGGUUAAGCCGGGAACUUUAAGGAUACUGCCAGUGACAAACUGGAGGAAGGCCGGGGACGACGUCAAG